rnacentral:lncRNA from 1 species
UUCGUUUUCAAAAUGAAGAGGGUGGAUAUUGACUGAGUUUCUUAGUAAGCAAUAACAGAUGAGUUAGCUGGAAUUCCUUCUUUGAAUCACAUUCUUGAGGAGAACAGAAUGCAAAAUAUCUCCAACACUUUGGAUACAUUAAGUUCCAGUGCCAUCCAUUUGCUCCUGGGGGAAAACGGCAGCUCACAAGGCGAACCUGGGAUGAGUAACCUGUCCCUCACCAGUACGCUGCCUUCAGAUGCACUGAGGACUCAGCCCAAAUCAAAGCAGG